rnacentral:rRNA from 1 species
CCUUCGGGGUGUUUUAAUGGCGAACGGGUGAGUAACACGUGGGCAAUCUGCCCUUCACUCUGGGACAAGCCCUGGAAACGGGGUCUAAUACCGGAUACGACACACGACCGCAUGGUCUGUGUGUGGAAAGCUCCGGCGGUGAAGGAUGAGCCCGCGGCCUAUCAGCUUGUUGGUGGGGUGAUGGCCUACCAAGGCGACGACGGGUAGCCGGCCUGAGAGGGCGACCGGCCACACUGGGACUGAGACACGGCCCAGACUCCUACGGGAGGCAGCAGUGGGGAAUAUUGCACAAUGGGCGAAAGCCUGAUGCAGCGACGCCGCGUGAGGGAUGACGGCCUUCGGGUUGUAAACCUCUUUCAGCAGGGAAGAAGCGAAAGUGACGGUACCUGCAGAAGAAGCGCCGGCUAACUACGUGCCAGCAGCCGCGGUAAUACGUAGGGCGCAAGCGUUGUCCGGAAUUAUUGGGCGUAAAGAGCUCGUAGGCGGCUUGUCACGUCGGAUGUGAAAGCCCGGGGCUUAACCCCGGGUCUGCAUUCGAUACGGGCAGGCUAGAGUUCGGUAGGGGAGAUCGGAAUUCCUGGUGUAGCGGUGAAAUGCGCAGAUAUCANGANNANCNCGGUGGCGAANGCGGAUCUCUGGGCCGAUACUGACNCUUGAGANCCCAAGCGUGGGGAGNNNANANGNUUAGAUACCCUGGUAGUCCNCNNC